ACUCAAAACUUACCUGGGAUGUAU
rnacentral:siRNA from 1 species